AUGGUGGGAACCAGUUUGGUGCAUUCAGACUUUUUAUUUUUCUGUUUUUACUUUUCCUUGAAUGGCUGUGAUCAUUCUGCUGUCCCUUGGAUAGUUUAUUUUAGGUUAUUUUAUCGGGUUCGGGUCAGUUUGCUUGUUUCAGUUGUUGUUUUACUUUUUAUAAUAUCUUUCUUCUACUAUACUAUUUAUCUACUUAUCAGUUUGUACUUUUGGUUACUCCCCACUUCUUUACUGGUUUCAACUUAUGGGUCAUAUAGGGCAAGUUCAGAUGUCAAGAUAACGGUUUCCUUCCUAUCAUGUUCAUGA
rnacentral:rRNA from 1 species